rnacentral:rRNA from 2 species
AGACCCGAAACCCGGUGAUCUAGCCAUGGGCAGGUUGAAGGUUGGGUAACACUAACUGGAGGACCGAACCGACUAAUGUUGAAAAAUUAGCGGAUGACCUGUGGCUGGGGGUGAAAGGCCAAUCAAACCGGGAGAUAGCUGGUUCUCCCCGAAAGCUAUUUAGGUAGCGCCUCGUGAAUUCAUCUCCGGGGGUAGAGCACUGUUUCGGCUAGGGGGCCAUCCCGGCUUACCAACCCGAUGCAAACUGCGAAUACCGGAGAAUGUUAUCACGGGAGACACACGGCGGGUGCUAACGUCCGUCGUGAAGAGGGAAACAACCCAGACCGCCAGCUAAGGUCCCAAAGUCAUGGUUAAGUGGGAAACGAUGUGGGAAGGCCCAGACAGCCAGGAUGUUGGCUUAGAAGCAGCCAUCAUUUAAAGAAAGCGUAAUAGCUCACUGGUCGAGUCGGCCUGCGCGGAAGAUGUAACGGGGCUAAACCAUGCACCGAAGCUGCGGCAGCGAACGUAUCACCCAAGACAACUUUACGGAGUUGACGAUUGACGGAGCGAAGCGACGUCAAAGCGUUCAUUAAAGUCGAGUUGGCUUAGGGAUACGUUCGUUGGGUAGGGGAGCGUUCUGUAAGCCUGUGAAGGUGUGUCGUGAGGCAUGCUGGAGGUAUCAGAAGUGCGAAUGCUGACAUAAGUAACGAUAAAGCGGGUGAAAAGCCCGCUCGCCGG